UACGUAGGGGGCGAGCGUUGUCCGGAGUUACUGGGCGUAAAGCGCUUGUAGGCGGUCCACCAAGUUUGGGGUGACAGUUGCCGACUUAAUCGGCAAAGUGCCUCAAAGACUGGCGGACUUGAGGGCCACAGAGGGACAUGGAACUCCAGGUGUAGUGGUGAAAUGCGUAGAUAUCGGGAAGAACACCCGUGGCGAAGGCGGCUAUCUGGGACGGUACUGACGCUGAGACGCGAAAGCGUGGGGAGCGAACAGG
rnacentral:rRNA from 1 species